rnacentral:rRNA from 1 species
AUUGAACGCUGGCGGCAGGCCUAACACAUGCAAGUCGAGCGGAUGAAGGGAGCUUGCUCCUGGAUUCAGCGGCGGACGGGUGAGUAAUGCCUAGGAAUCUGCCUGGUUGUGGGGGAUAACGUCCGGAAACGGGCGCUAAUACCGCAUACGUCCUGAGGGAGAAAGUGGGGGAUGUUCGGACCUCACGCUAUCAGAUGAGCCUAGGUCGGAUUAGCUAGUUGGUGGGGUAAAGGCCUACCAAGGCGACGAUCCGUAACUGGUCUGAGAGGAUGAUCAGUCACACUGGAACUGAGACACGGUCCAGACUCCUACGGGAGGCAGCAGUGGGGAAUAUUGGACAAUGGGCGAAAGCCUGAUCCAGCCAUGCCGCGUGUGUGAAGAAGGUCUUCGGAUUGUAAAGCACUUUAAGUUGGGAGGAAGGGCAGUAAGUUAAUACCUUGCUGUUUUGACGUUACCAACAGAAUAAGCACCGGCUAACUUCGUG